CAAAGUUAACAGCUUCCAGCAUUCAAGAUCAUGUAAUAUCCUGCAGAGAAUUGACACAGAGGAGUUGCCUGUUUCCCACACCGCUGUGAUCUGCGGCAGG